GAUUUUACGAAACUCGACCCCUAAGGGGGUAAAACGGGGGUUGGAAGUUUGUAUGAAAGUCCUAUGUUUUUGAAGUAAGAGACCUGAAAUUUAAAAUGUAUGCUCUAUAGAUGGUGAGAAAGUGUCCAAAUAUGCAUCGUAAUCUAUAUAUAUAAAAGAGAAAGGUCACUGACUCACUCAUUACGAGAACUUAAUAACCGCUGGAUGGUCCAUCCAUCCAGGAUGGACAAAGAUGAGGCAGGGAGGUAGAUUAUAGUUAGUUGACGUCCGCUAAGAACGGAUUUUGUGAUAUUCCACCGCUAAGAGGGU
rnacentral:misc_RNA from 1 species